rnacentral:misc_RNA from 1 species
UCUCCGUAGGUGAACCAGCGGAGGGAUCACUACAGGCUUGCAAAAGCUCUGAAACCACUGUUUAUCUACCUGAAUCUGCUUCGGCGGGCGGCCCCAGGGCGGGGCCCGAGCCGGAAGGCCCCCGCCGAAGACCCCUCAACUUCGUUGUCUUAAGAAUCUCUGAGACAUUAAAUUAAACAAAAACAACUUCAAAAAAUCGAUCUCUUGGCCCCUGCAUCGAUGAAGAACGCAACAGAACGGAAGAACAUACGAACGCACGUCAGUCCCUUCGUACCAUCU